rnacentral:rRNA from 1 species
AUUGAACGCUGGCGGCAGGCUUAACACAUGCAAGUCGAGCGGAGAUGAGGUGCUUGCACCUUAUCUUAGCGGCGGACGGGUGAGUAAUGCUUAGGAAUCUGCCUAUUAGUGGGGGACAACAUUCCGAAAGGAAUGCUAAUACCGCAUACGUCCUACGGGAGAAAGCAGGGGAUCUUCGGACCUUGCGCUAAUAGAUGAGCCUAAGUCGGAUUAGCUAGUUGGUGGGGUAAAGGCCUACCAAGGCGACGAUCUGUAGCGGGUCUGAGAGGAUGAUCCGCCAAACUGGGAAUGGGACACGGCCCAGAAUCCAACGGGAGGCAGCAGUGGGGAAGAUUGGACAAUGGGGGGAACCCUGAUCCAGCCAUGCCGCGUGUGUGAAGAAGGCCUUAUGGUUGUAAAGCACUUUAAGCGAGGAGGAGGCUACUGAGACUAAUACUCUUGGAUAGUGGACGUUACUCGCAGAAUAAGCACCGGCUAACUCUGUGCCAGCCGCCGCCGUAAAAC